rnacentral:rRNA from 1 species
UACAGAGGGUGCAAACGUUGCUCGGAAUCAUUGGGCGUAAAGCGCACGUAGGCGGCCUGAUAAGUCGGGUGUGAAAGCCCUGGGCUCAACCCAGGAAGUGCACUCGAAACUGUCAGGCUUGAAUAUGGAAGAGGGUCGCGGAAUUCCCGGUGUAGAGGUGAAAUUCGUAGAUAUCGGGAGGAACACCAGUGGCGAAGGCGGCGACCUGGGCCAAUAUUGACGCUGAGGUGCGAAAGCGUGGGGGAGCAAACAGG